GACGAACGCUGGCGGCGUGCCUAAUACAUGCAAGUCGAACGCCGUGGGGACGGGUGAGUAACAAGUGGGUAACCUCCACAUCAGGGGGGAUAACACUUGGAAACAGGUGCUAAACCGAUAUUGCUGGCUGGACCCGCGGUGCAUUAGCUAGUUGGUGGGGUAACGGCUCACAAAGGCCACGAUGCAUAGCCGACCGGAGAGGGUGAUCGGCCACACUGGGACUGAGACACGGCCCAGACGCCGACGUGAGGCAGCAGUAGGGAAUCUUCGGCAAUGGACGAAAGUCUGACCGAGCAACGCCGCGUGAGUGAAGAAGGUUUUCGGAUCGUAAAACUCUGUUGUUAGAGAAGCGGUAUCUAACCAGAAAGCCACGGCUAACUACGUGCCAGCAGCCGCGGUAAGUC
rnacentral:rRNA from 1 species